rnacentral:rRNA from 1 species
UAAUACCUGAUAAGCCCACGACGGCUUUGGUCGUUGCGGGAAAAGGGGGGGACCUUCGGGCCUUCUGUCAUCAGAUGAGUCUGCGUACCAUUAGCUAGUUGGUAGGGUAAAGGCCUACCAAGGCGACGAUGGUUAGCCGGUCUGAGAGGAUGAUCAGCCACACUGGAACUGAGACACGGUCCAGACUCCUACGGGAGGCAGCAGUGGGGAAUUUUGCGCAAUGGGGGAAACCCUGACGCAGCAACGCCGCGUGAGUGAUGAAGGCUCUUGGGUCGUAAAGCUCUGACAGAGGGAAAGAAGUGUAUUGUGGCUAAUAUCCACGAUACUUGACGGUACCCUCAAAGGAAGCACCGGCUAACUCCGUGCCAGCAGCCGCGGUAAUACGGGGGGUGCAAGCGUUGUUCGGAUUUAUUGGGCGUAAAGCGCGUGUAGGCGGUUUGUUAAGUCUGUUGUGAAAGCCCUGGGCUCAACCCGGGAAGUGCACUGGAUACUGGCAAACUUGAAUACGGGAGAGGAGAGUGGAAUUCCUGGUGUAGGAGUGAAAUCCGUAGAUAUCAGGAGGAACACCGGUGGCGAAGGCGGCUCUCUGGACCGAUAUUGACGCUGAGACGCGAAAGCGUGGGUAGCAAACAGGAUUAGAUACCCUGGUAGUCCACGCCGUAAACGAUGAGUACUAGGUGUUGCGGGUA